AGCGAACGCUGGCGGCAGGCUUAACACAUGCAAGUCGAACGGGCCCUUCGGGAUCAGCUGCUGUCGGGUGUGUAACGCGUGGGACCGUUCCUGCUUGUCUGGAAUAACACUUGGAAACUGGGGCUAAUGCCGGAUAAGCCCUGUUGGGGCAAGGUUUACUGCCGGAGUAUCGGCCCGCGUCUGAUUAGCUAGUUGGUGGGGUAACGGCCUACCACGGCGACGAUCAGUAGCUGGUCUGAGAGGAUGAUCAGCCACACUGGGACUGAGACACGGCCCAGACUCCUACGGGAGGUAGCAGUGGGGAAUAUUGGACAAUGGGCGCAAGCCUGAUCCAGCCAUGCCGCGUGAGUGAUGAAGGCCUUAGGGUUGUAAAGCUCUUUUAUCCGGGACGAUAAUGACGGUACCGGAGGAAUAAGCCCCGGCUAACUUCGUG
rnacentral:rRNA from 1 species